CCCAAUCGUCUCAAAUUUUCAAAAGAAGAUCGUCGGAACCCCCCCAUCUCAGGCGAUUCAAUUCCAAACCCCUCCAAAAUCACAUCCCUGAAACAACUCACCCUCCUCUUUCCAACCAUGUGUGUUACACCCUUCGAAUCCGCCUGAAACAUCUCGAAUGUUAAUUUGAAAUCUAACCCUAAAAUGAAAACCUCACCAGAUUUCCGUCAAGCUCAUCUCAAUCAAUCAUUGUCCAUUCCCCUCCCUAACCAUGCCACCCACGACCCCCAAAUACCAGUAACCACUAGAGAAAUCCAUAUCUGAGAUCUCACUGGGUCUCAGAACCAUCAAUUCCCUGUCCUAAACUCCUGAACCUGUUAUCCACAAGGUCAGAUACCCUAGACGUUUAAAAUACCUCUACAGAAGGGGUCAGGAACCAACGAAAUGGUCUCAAGUGGAUUUGCAUGUGU
rnacentral:lncRNA from 1 species